GUGUUUUUUUAAAUAAACGUUAUCUAUGACAAAAUAAUAGAUAAUUUUUUAAAUAAGCUCUGUCUAUGGCUAUAAUAAUAUAUAGCGCUUUUUAAAACAAACGCUAUCUUAGUCCUUCCUAACUCUCACUCACUAUCGCAAUUGCCCUUCCUGCUCCCUCACCGUCGCUCUCGCUCACCGUCGCUCUCGCUCACCGGCGCUCUCGCUCACCGGCGCUCUCGCCCACCGUCGCUCUCGCUCACUGUCGCAACGGCUUUUCGUCACUCUCACUCACGGCUGCCUCUCCUCGGUCUCACUCAGCAGGAUUAUAUUGCUUAUGGGAAAGGUGUGUGAGCCAUGACCAAUGAUUAAAAAAAGCAGAUGUAGAUUUGUGCUAGAUUUUUUGAUGCCUCCUUCUUGCCCUUCAAAUAUCAAAUUGUCAAUGUCAUGUUUUGGACAAAAUUCAUCUAGCAACACAUUAAAUAUCAAAAGCAGCUCGAAAUUCAAAGUAAAAGGAUCUCUGAAACCAAGAACAAACAAUAGUUUAAGCUCCAACUCUUAUUCUCACAAGUCGUAAAUGAAGAGAAAACCAAAGAAGAAAAAGAAGCAGCAGGAAAGAAUGUUUGUUCUGCUUAUGGUAUCAUGCAUGAAGUUCCUUGGUUUAUUAUGAUGAGUAAGGAGAAGAUGAAGUACUUGCUGGACUGUCAAAGCAUUGGGAUUUGAGAAUACCAAACUCAUAUACCUUCUUAGUACCCUAUGAAAUACAAGGGCAUCUCCGUGGAUGCAUGUGGAUGUUUCAAAAGGGCAAAGUGUGUGUGUGUGUGUGUGUGUAUAUAUAUAUAUAUAUAUAUAUAUAUUAAUAUUGUGUUUGCUGCCUUUGGUUUUAUUUUGUUUACUCACUGACUUACUGUAAUUGGACUGAAUUAGAUUGUCAAGUUACAUUCUAUAGUUUCUCCUAAGACAUUAUAGGUCCAAAUGAUGGGAUGUGUGCAUGCUUGAUGGGUUUGGUGAUAAAAUCUUUAGUUUGAGUUCACUGUAUACGUAAUUCGUGAGUUGUGUCCUGUUGCAAUAAGGCAUAGAUGCGUAUAUAUGGACAAAGAUGAAUUUUUGAGUUGAAUGAAACUGCUGAUACUCUAUAUGGGCCAAUUCAGUGGUUAGACCGAACUCAUGGCACUUGUAUAUAUGGAAAACUCUCACAGACCUGUUAUCUCAUGGCACUUGAUUCCUGUUAUUGGAUUUUCUGUGAGAAGUAAGCAUAGACCGAACAAAAUGGCCAUUUAAAAUUUUUCAUUUUGGUUUCAACUUCUCAUUAAUGUUCUUCCGUAUACAGAUUUGAAAAAUUGGAGGGAAGGCCUUUUUCAAUAUCAGAUUUUGAUUAUUUUGUGUUUCAUUCUCCAUAUAACAAGGUAAUUGUCAUGCAGGAAUUUUUUCACCAUAUUGGAAUGAAAACGAAAAGGCAGAGAAGUAUGUGAUAACACCACCUACAAUGACUCUACAUAAUUGUUUUCUUGAUGUAUUGUAGCUUGUGCAGAAAAGUUUUGGCUGGCUAUACUUUAAUGACUUCAUGAGAAAUCUCAGUUUUGUUAAUGAAGUUAUGGUUCCUUAUCUUGUGAUGAGAGUUAUCAAAGUCAUGAUCUUGAAAAGUAUCCAAAACAACUCAAUGGCAAUGAAUGUGGGUAUUACUUGUGUCGAUAUAUGAAGGAAAUUAUCACAUUUAGUGUAAGAGGGACAAUUUCAAUUGAUUAUUUUUCUAAUUGCAGAUGUCAUCAAUAUCGUGACAAUUAAAUCAUUGAAGUUAGGGAAUAUUGGUGUUUAUAUGUAAUCAAUACAUGUUUAUAGGUUAUAUUAUGGUGAUGUACAUUCUUAUAAGUAUAGAUAGGAUAUAUAUGUUAUGGUUGUAUAUAUUCUCUAAAAAACAAUGUCAUGUCAUAACAUGUACUCUCAAUGAUUAUAUUUUGAAAUAUUAUUGUAUCAAUAAUUUUUAUUCAUACUAAUGAACAUUCU